rnacentral:rRNA from 1 species
GACAGAGGUGCCAAGCGUUAGGCGGAAUCACUGGGCUUAAAGCGUGUGUAGGCGGAUGUCUAAGUACCUUGUGAAAUCCCACGGCUCAACCGUGGAACUGCUUGGUAUACUGGACGUCUUGAGCCAGCUAGGGGCUACCGGAACAAAUGGUGGAGCGGUGAAAUGCGUAGAUAUCAUUUGGAACGCCAAUGGUGAAAACAGGUAGCUGGGGCUGUGCUGACGCUGAGACACGAAAGCCAGGGGAGCGAACGGG